rnacentral:misc_RNA from 1 species
GAUGAAGAACGUAGCGAAAUGCGAUACGUAAUGUGAAUUGCAGAUUUCAGUGAAUCAUCGAAUCUUUGAACGCACAUUGCGCCCAUUAGUAUUCUAGUGGGCAUGCCUGUUCGAGCGUCAUUUCAACCCUUAAGCCUAGCUUAGUAUUGGGAAUCGACUUUACUGUCGUUCCUCAAAUUCAACGGCGGAUUUAUAGCAAUCUCUGAACGUAGUAAUUUUUUUUCUCGUUUUUGAAAUACUAUAAACCUCAGCCGCUAAACCCCCAAUUUCUUAUGGUUGACCUCGGAUCAGGUAGGAAUACCCGCUGAACUUAAGCAUAUCAAUAAGCGGAGGA